AUAGAACGCUGGCGGCAGGCCUAACACAUGCAAGUCGAACGAGUGGCGGACGGGUGAGUAAUGUCUGGGAAACUGCCUGAUGGAGGGGGAUAACUACUGGAAACGGUAGCUAAUACCGCACACCAUCAGAUGUGCCCAGAUGGGAUUAGCUAGUAGGUGGGGUAAUGGCGCACCGAGGCGACGAUCCCUGGCUGGUCUGCGCGGAUGACCAGCCACACUGGAACUGAGACACGGUCCAGACUCCUAAGGGAGGCAGCAGUGGGGAAUAUUGCACAAUGGGCGCAAGCCUGAUGCAGCCAUGCCGCGUGUGUGAAGACGGCCUUCGGGUUGUACAGCACUUUCAGCGAGGAGGCGUUACUCGCAGAAGAAGCACCGGCUAACUCCGUGCCAGCCGCCGCGGUAAUAC
rnacentral:rRNA from 1 species